GAUGAACGCUGGCGGCGUGCCUAAUACAUGCAAGUCGAGCGAACGGACGAGAAGCUUGCUUCUCUGAUGUUAGCGGCGGACGGGUGAGUAACACGUGGAUAACCUACCUAUAAGACUGGGAUAACUUCGGGAAACCGUAGCUAAUACCGGAUAAUAUUUUGAACCGCAUGGUUCAAAAGUGAAAGACGGUCUUGCUGUCACUUAUAGAUGGAUCCGCGUUGCAUUAGCUAGUUGGUAAGGUAACGGCUUACCAAGGCAACGAUGCAUAGCCGACCUGAGAGGGUGAUCGGCCACACUGGAACUGAGACACGGUCCAGACUCCUACGGGAGGCAGCAGUAGGGAAUCUUCCGCAAUGGGCGAAAGCCUGACGGAGCAACGCCGCGUGAGUGAUGAAGGUCUUCGGAUCGUAAAACUCUGUUAUUAGGGAAGAACAUAUGUGUAAGUAACUGUGCACAUCUUGACGGUACCUAAUCAGAAAGCCACGGCUAACUACGUG
rnacentral:rRNA from 1 species